CCACAGUGCAGCAGCUGUUCUGCUUUUAUAUCUACAGCAACAAGAGCGGGCACCUCACGCUGCCGGCUGACCUGCGCUGUUCAAGGCUACUAAGGAGGAGCCUUCAUAGGACAGUCCUACCGAGGACCUGCACCACCUCAGCUACAGCCAAGGCUCUGGAACGCAGCUCUUGAGUAAGAAGUUCAUGUGACUGGAUGUGGCCUGCUCAUCAAAAUUCACGCUGCUGUCCGUGAUGUCGUACACAGUGAUGGUGUCUCCAAAUCUCCAGAACACAGUGCCUUUAACCAGCAGUGCCUCAUGACUGUUUGAACACGAGCUGCUCCUGGCUGCCUAUUUUGGGUGAUGGACCACUAGGAAUGUUCUACGGCUGGUCCAGCACCACAGAACCAGCCCACCUGAUUCACCCAAACAGUGUCAUAUUUCAGUUAAAACACAUUUAACACACUCGUGUCCAGAACUGUGCAGCAGCAGAUGCGCUACAGUCUAUAACUGUAACGUUAGUGGACCUCAAAAGGUGGACGGAGCUCAUGAAGUGGACAGAGAGGGAAAUACAAAAUAAAAGUCUCUAAUAAAGUGGACGGUCGGUGUAUGGAAAUCAAAUCAAAUCAAAUCAGAUUUAUUGUCACAUCACAAGAGUACAGGAGUACAGGAAUGAAGCAAGUGUACAUUCCUCCAUCCGUCUUCUUCAAACGGCUGAGUUUGAUGGAGAAGUUUCCUUUAGUCCACUCGUCUGGAAAGCUGUCAACUCGGCCUCUGAACGGCACAUCCUGUUCAUCCAACGAC